GUUUUGGCAAUCCCGCUCCAGCUCGAACUCGCACCUGCACGGUAUGGGCUCAGGGUUCCCGAUGAUGUCAUCACCAGACCGUGGUUGUGAUGCGCCAGUGGAGAUUCAUUACAGCUCUGCUCUUGUACCAACAUCCUGAAUGCCUCAUGGAUGUGGAAUACAUAAAUAGAACUUUAGAACUCCCAGCAGUGGAACACACUGGGCCUUCUGAGCACAGAGACCUCAUGAGCCCACGCUCCGCCUGGCCCUCUGGGCAUGAUGCCACCCUAAGGUGCGCUAAAAGCUGUGCCACACCCGAGCUGGCAUCAGGUUUUUGGCAGCGCCUUGCUUGGUAAGAGCUGGUGGUCCUGGUCAGGCCUCAGAGGCUCUGGACUAAACAUCAGCUGCCUGUGCAGGCCACUCAGGCAGAGUCCAGUGCCAUCUACUGGUGCAUCAUGGAAGUGCUCACAGCAUUUGUCAGAGGAUUUAGAGUUGAUUCAGUCUACAAUGUGUUCAGAUG